UACGGGGGGGGUGAGCGUUGUUCGGAAUUACUGGGCGUAAAGGGCUCGUAGGCGGCCAACUAAGUCAUACGUGAAAUCCCUCAGCUUAACUGGGGAACUGCGUGUGAUACUGGAUGGCUUGGAUUUGGGAGAGGGAUGCGGAAUUCCAGGUGUAGCGGUGAAAUGCGUAGAUAUCUGGAGGAACACCGGUGGCGAAGGCGGCAUCCUGGACCAAUAUUGACGCUGAGGAGCGAAAGCCAGGGGAGCAAACGGG
rnacentral:rRNA from 1 species